UGAAACGCAUGUGCAUGCCUUACACAUGCAAGUCGAACGGCAGCAUGAUCUAGCUUGCUAGAUUGAUGGCGAGUGGCGAACGGGUGAGUAAUACAUCGGAACGUGCCCUGUAGUGGGGGAUAACUAGUCGAAAGAUUAGCUAAUACCGCAUACGACCUGAGGGUGAAAGUGGGGGACCGCAAGGCCUCAUGCUAUAGGAGCGGCCGAUGUCUGAUUAGCUAGUUGGUGGGGUAAAGGCCCACCAAGGCGACGAUCAGUAGCUGGUCUGAGAGGACGAUCAGCCACACUGGGACUGAGACACGGCCCAGACUCCUACGGGAGGCAGCAGUGGGGAAUUUUGGACAAUGGGCGAAAGCCUGAUCCAGCAAUGCCGCGUGUGUGAAGAAGGCCUUCGGGUUGUAAAGCACUUUUGUCCGGAAAGAAAUGGCUCUGGUUAAUACCUGGGGUCGAUGACGGUACCGGAAGAAUAAGGACCGGCUAACUACGUGCCAGCAGCCGCGGUAAUACGUAGGGUCCAAGCGUUAAUCGGAAUUACUGGGCGUAAAGCGUGCGCAGGCGGUUGUGCAAGACCGAUGUGAAAUCCCCGAGCUUAACUUGGGAAUUGCAUUGGUGACUGCGCGGCUAGAGUGUGUCAGAGGGGGGUAGAAUUCCACGUGUAGCAGUGAAAUGCGUAGAGAUGUGGAGGAAUACCGAUGGCGAAGGCAGCCCCCUGGGAUAACACUGACGCUCAUGCACGAAAGCGUGGGGAACAAACAGGAUUAGAUACCCUGUAGUCCACGCCCUAAACGAUGUCAACUAGUUGUUGGGGAUUCAUUUCCUUAGUAACGUACCUACGCGUGAGUUGACCGCCUGGGG
rnacentral:rRNA from 1 species